UGUCAGCAGCCGCGGUAAUACGUAGGUGGCGAGCGUUAUCCGGAUUUAUUGGGUUUAAAGGGAGCGUAGGCGGCUGAUUAAGUCAGCGGUGAAAGGUAGCAGCUUAACUGUUUUACAUGCCGUUGAUACUGGUUAGCUUGAGUUGACAGAAGGCAGAUAGAAUUCCUGAUGUAGCGGUGAAAUGCUUAGAUAUCAGGAGGAAUACCGAUUGCGAAGGCAGUCUGCUGCAGUCACACUGACGCUGAGGCUCGAAGGUGCGGGGAUCAAACAGGAUUAGAUACCCUGGUAGUCCGCACAGUAAACGAUGAUUACUAGAUGUUGGCGAUGCCAGUGUCCAAGGGAAACCGAUAAGUAAUCCACCUGGGGAGUACGCCGGCAACGGUGAAACUUAAAGAAAUUGGCGG
rnacentral:rRNA from 1 species